rnacentral:rRNA from 1 species
CCUAUCUGGUUGAUCCUGCCAGUAGUCAUAUGCUUGUCUCAAAGAUUAAGCCAUGCAUGUCUAAGUACAAGCCGUGUUUACACGGGGAGACCGCGGACGGCUCAUUAAAUCAGUCGUGGUCCAAAUGGGCCAGUGCUUAUCUUACUUGGAUAACUGUGGUAAUUCCAGAGCUAAUACAUGCAACUCAUACCCCGAUGGCCUCUCUCUUGUAGGGAGUGUCUUGACGGGUGCUUUUAUUAGACCAAACCGCUGAGGCGUGCGCCUCUCGGGGACUCGCUUGACUCGUUUAAUGGUGACUCUGGAUAACCUUCUUUGACAAGCGCACGUACCCCUCUUUUGAGUGGGACGGCGCUGCCACUUUCGAGUGUCUGCCUUAUCAGCUAUCAACCGUUCGUUACGUGCGACCGAUGGCUUUGACGGGUAACGGGGAAUCAGGGUUCGAUUCCGGAGAGGCAGCCUGAGAGACGGCUACCACGUCCAAGGACGGCAGCAGGCGCGCAAAUUACCCAAUCCCAGCAACUGGGGGAGGUAGUGACGAAAUCUAACGAUGCGGGCGCCCUUUCUAGGGCCCCGCAAUCGGAAUGAGCACUUUCUAAACAACCUGUUGAGAACCUACUGAAGGGCAAGUCUGGUGCCAGCAGCCGCGGGUAAUUCCAGCUUCAGCAGCAUCUAUUAAAGUUGCUGCGGUUAAAAGGCUCGCAGUUGAAUGUCAGUGCCGAGCGCAGGUCAGGUGGACGCUGGGGCGUGGGAACACACGCGGUACGGACGGCGCUUUGGUUCGCCAAAUGUCGUCGCACCCGCCGUGUCUCACAAGCCCCCGUCCGUGACAAGCCUCCUCGCUUGCGUACAUAUCGGAAUCUGUUUCGGAGGGCUGCGAGUGCCUGGGUGGCUCCUUCGUCUUCUCGUCUUCUCUCUCCUAACGGGGGUAGUUGGCUCGGCGGAGGCUAGGUCGCCUGCAUGGCGGGCGGUCAUCUCUUUGGUUUCAUGGUCACCUUGAGUAAAUCAGAGUGCUCAAAGCAGUCGUAGGGGCCUUGUGCCCUGUGAAAAGUCUUGACGGACUGACUGGUUUUGCAUGGCAUGUCGGAAGACGACGUCGCGUGCUGGCUCAGAGAUGUAAUCAGUGGUUAAAAGCCAGCCGCGACGUACUGAUUAACAGGGACGGUCGAGGGCAUUGGUAUUGCGAGGCGAGAGGUGAAAUUCUAUGACCCCCGCAAGACCUCCUGAAGCGAAAGCGUCUGCCAAGGACGUUUUCAUUAAUCAUGAACGAAAGUUAGAGGAUCGAAGGCGAUCAGAUACCGCCCUAGUUCUAACCCUAAACGAUGCCAACCAUCAAUCCGCGCGUAGCACCCUUCUUAACGGGCUCGGCGGGCAGCUCCUUACCCACGGGAAACCAGAGUCUUUGGGUUCCGGGGGGAGUCUGGUUGCAAAGCUGAAACUUAAAGGAGAUUGGACGGAAAGGCACCACCAGGCGUGGAGCCUGCGGCUUAAUUUGACUCAACACGGGCCAUCUCACCAGGCCAGCACUCUUGUACGAUUGACAGAUUGAGAGCUCUUUCUCGAUUCAGUGGAUGGUGGUGCAUGGCCGUUCUUAGUUGGUGGAGUGAUCUGUCUGGUUAAUUCCGAUAACGAACGAGACUCUCCCCUGCUAACUAGUCGGUUGGAUCUUGCUCUGAGAGUCGUGUACCUGGUGACCGGAGGAGUCGGUGUUCGGGGCGGUGUCACCGCAUCCAGUGGUCUGUUGGGGUGUUCUCGUUGCGGUUCUGCCGCGCGGGUGCAUGCUGCUCUCUGCUGUGGUGUGUGAGUGUGCCGCUUACAGCCUCUCUCUCACGGCCAGGACCACACACUCCAAGUCCACCGCUAUAUGCUUAAACUCUUCUUAGAGGGAUUCACGGUACUGAAGCCGUACGAGACUGAGAGCAAUAACAGGUCUGUGAUGCCCUUAGAUGCUCUGGGCCGCACGCGCGCUACAAUGCCGGGCACAGCAGGUGUUUCUCCUACUCCGACAGGAGCGGGGUAACCCUCUGAAAGCCCUCGAUUACUCUCGUGUCUGACACGAAUGGCGUGCUUGGGCCUGGGGCUUGCAAUUCUUUUCCACAAACGAAGGAAUGCCUAGUAGCGGCGAGUCACUGAGCUCGCUGUGACUCAGUACCUGCCCUUUGUACACACCGCCCGUCGCUACUACCGAUUGGGUGUACCAGUGAGAGCUUUGGACUGGCGUCCGCUGCCUUCGGGCAAGCGGGUCCGACGGAAAGAGGUCCGAACUGGUGCACUUAGAGGAAGUAAAAGUCGUAACAAGGUUUCCGUAGGUGAACCUGCGGAAGGAUCAUUA